GACCUGGUGGUGAAUCGGGAACACAACUGUCUGCAAAACAGUUAUGAGCGGGUUCGACUCCCGCCCAGGUCU
rnacentral:tRNA from 1 species